GAUGAUAUCCCACUAUCUCUGCUGAACUACUUUAAAACCUCAAAAAGCAGAGCUGCAGUCUGUGAGAAGCUCAUCUUUGAGGACCUUGAAGGUAGGUCAGCAAAAAUAUCAUAUUUCCAUAUUUAUCUUUGCUGUAUUAUGAGCUGAUAUCUCUGCUUUCUUUACAGAUUUCACUGCACUGAAUUUGCCCGCUGAGUUCAACAAGGAUAAAAAACUGAAGGAGCAGGUUCUUUGUGCAACAGAAAAUGAAGAUGAAGGCGACCUUCUAAAUACACUGACUGAUGAAGAGGAAGCUGGAACAGAUGUGGAAACUUUGGCAUUGAAACUCAGUGAGCACAAAGCAGAGGCAAAGAAACGGCACAGUGAGGAAGAGGAGCAGAGGAAACAAAGAGAACUGGACUUCCAAGAAGAGCUGAGGAGGUUAAUAGAGACAGAGAAGGUACUGAGCUCUGGACCCU
rnacentral:lncRNA from 1 species